rnacentral:rRNA from 1 species
AUUGAACGCUGGCGGCAGGCUUAACACAUGCAAGUCGAACGAGUGGCGGACGGGUGAGUAAUGCUUGGGAACUAGUUUAUGGAGGGGGAUAACUACUGAAAACGGUAGCUAAUAACGAAUACAAUCGGAUAACACAUAUGGGAUUAGCUAGUAGGUGAGGUAAUGGCUCACCUAGGCGACGAUCCCUAGCUGGGCUGAGAGGAUGAUCAGCCCCACUGGGACUGAGACACGGCCCAGACUCCUACGGAGGCAUCAGUGGGGAAUAUUGCACAAUGGGCGCAAGCCUGAUGCAGCCAUGCCGCGUGUAUGAAGAAGGCCCUAGGGUUGUAAAGUACUUUCAGUCGGGAGGCGUUACCGACAGAAGAAGCACCGGCUAACUCCGUGCCAGCAGCCGCGGUAAUAC